UCUGGGUGAACUCCGGGAGUUGGUGAUGGACAGGGAGGCCUGGCGUGCUGCGAUUCAUGAGGUCGCAAAGAUUCGGACACGACUGAGGGACUGAUCUGAUCUGAUCUGAUUUCAAGGUCAGGAGGGGAUGCCACUAGAAUUCUUGGGCAGGUGGGGCUGGCCUCGUCCUGGGAGAAAGGCCAGCAGCGGCCUCAGCUUCUCGGUGUGCGCGCUCCAUGUGGAGACGGGCCUGCCCGCCCUGAUGCACCCACUUCUGUUCUUGGCCCGCAGCUCGGAGACCCGACCCUGGGGAAGCCUGGUGACCGUGAGCUCUGGCCACUGCAGGGUGACCCCUUCUGCUGUUCACAGACCAGCCCUGAUGGAGGCCAGAAACCGGCCCAGGGUCGCAGGCAGAAUGAAGUGGGGUGGAGGGGGACUGGGUGCCCAUGGUGGAGGGGGCACUGGGUCCCGAGGCGUGGAGGGGAGGGAGCUCCAGGAGACGGUGCUGCAGGGGUUGGGGUGGGGCGUGCACAAACCCCGCAGAGGCGGCAGCCGUGAUCCCGGUUGGAAAGCGAACACUCAGAGGGUGGGGGUGUGCAGUUUGGGGGUGAAGCUGGAGCCCUGGGAGCUGGAGGAGCCAGGCGGCCUGGGGAGCCUGUGAAGAAUGUCCUGGCCUUUUAAGGGAAACUCUAGUGUAACAUAAACAUCUCGUGGGUCAUUAGAUGCCCUGAUGAAGCCGGGAAAGCAGGAAAGUAAUUGUGUCUCAGACGUAAAAUUUAAACAGUGCAGAGACAUUUCAUGUUGAAGUUUCAGCUGCACGGACCCAGUUCCCUCUGGACACAGCUGGCCCGUCCCGGUGUCUGAGCUCGUCGUGUGCCCACGUGUACACUUGUGGGGGCAUGUAAGCACACACUACCUCUCGUAGGAGAAGACAGGAGGUUUGGAGAGAAGAGGUGGUCUGUGAUGUGUGGCCCCUGUUGGGGACAGCCUGUGGCAUUGCGUGCAUCUCCUGUUCCUUUGCUUCUCGAGUUUUCCACCUAGAAGGAGCAGGGUGUUAGUACUUAGCUCUGAUGAGUGGUGUGUGUAUCUCCACACAAUUCUGAAUGUAGAUGUGUCUUCAUUUUCUUUCCAACUAUGUCAGAGGCAAGAAGAGGAGAAGGGGUGACAGAGGCUGAGAUGGUUGGAUGGCGUCAUGAUGGACAUGGUUUGAGUAAACUCUGGGAGAUGGUGAAGGACAGGGAAGCCUGGCAUGCCGCAGUCCAUGGGAUUGCAGAGUCAGAUGCAACUUAGCGAGUGAACAACAAAAUAUCGAAUUAACUCACAUUGUCACAGUUUUUAGUUUUUGUCUGUGCAGAGAACACACACACACACACACACACCCCCGUAAUAAAAGUUGGCACAGUGAAGUGAGGACACUUCUGUCUUUCAGACGCUCUACCUUGUGGUUAGAUAAUCUUUAAACAGAUUGUGGUUAUAGAGAUAAAAGUCCACACAUCUCUUAACCCGUGCCUUCUUCCCUAAGUGGUAGCAGGUCUGAGUGUGACACGCAUCCUCUUGUGUGACCAGCGUUGUGAACCCCAGGGGUGCAGGUCUAGUUUGUCCAGGGCAGCACGCAGGCUUCCGGAGUCCUUAGCAGCUUUUUCCUGAGUCUGGAAACAGGUGCUGCUUCCUGGGCUGCAGGUACUGCAGCUCCUCCAUUCGUCCAGGGAGGAAGUGUCUCUUUGGGCAGCAGCUGCCGGGAGCUCUGUCUGCACUUCCUCCAAACAGACAGCUCGGAAGCCCCCUGAUGGGAGGUGCCUUUGAUUCCCAAGGUCGCAUCCUUGAACUCCAGCCAGGCGCGCUCCCCUGCGAGGCCCCCUUGGGGAGGCUCCCAAGGACACCGGACUCCCUUCUGGACACGGUGGCCUCUGGCCUCUGGAGGAAAGUUCUGCACAUGCAAUAGGAACCCCAACAUAAACCCCAUUUGUUCCGGAUUCAGUGGGAGAAAAGGGAGCCUCAGCUCCAGGGGGCAUUCUCGUUUGGAGAGGAAACGGGGACCCCCAGGCAGACAAGGAAUUCCUGGGACUGGCUCCUCUGUGGACCCCAGGCUGGCAGGGGUCCAGGCUGCAGCUGCCCCGACCAUGUGGACUCCAGCCUGCCGGCCUUGGGGCCCAGUGGGGACACGUGCUGUCUGGCUCGCCGCUGAGACAUCCCAAGCCUGGAGCAGGGCUGUUCUUGUGGUCCAAAGGUGGAUGAAAACAAUUGAGAGCCUUCUUUCCCUGUAGACGUUGUCAGAAAGGAUGCCUCUGUGCGCCUACCGCCCUUUCCUCGGCCUUGGAAGCCCCCCGCCCCCGCCCCCCCAUUGACAUCAGGGUUGGGGUGGGGGGUGCCAGACUCUCCCCAGGUGGGUGGCCCCGGGGCGGGGGGUCACAGCCCCGCAGCAUGCCUUGCCUUCCCCCGCCCUCUGCCUGCAGUUUUCCAAACGCCACUCCUGAAUUUUCUGGAGUUUUGAGUUGUUUCCAACCCUGUUUGGAAGGAGAGCUUUGAGCUAACGCAGACCGCCGAGUGGGCUUCUUCCUUGAGGCAGGGCUGGUGGGAUGCGGCCACGGGGUCGGGGGUGGGGUGGGGUGGAGUUUGGGGUCGGCUCUCGGGGUUUCAGAGGCAGCGGGAGUGCUCCGUGCUCGUCGUGGGGAGACCUGAUCAAGCAGACCAUCCAAGAGGCUGCUGCAGGGCCAGCCCUGGGCCAGGCUGGGGUCCAGCCGUGCCCACCCAGCACCUAGUUUCCUGGGGCCUGUCUGUCUGUCCGUCCCCCGCAACACGGAGGGGGCGCAGGUCCUGAGGGCGGAGGCUGUGUGUGAGAGUUAACUUUCAGGGCCUGGAAGCCGAGCUCCAGCCAGCUGCAGGGCCCCCGAGGGGUCAUCGGCCGCUGACCUGUCCCUCAGGGUCCUGUCCCCGUGGACAUCUGCCAUGUGUCCCCGCCAGCUGGCUCGGACCCCUUUUCUGUCUCACAGCAGCGGCCCGGUCUCUCUGGGGACUGCUCCCGCCGCCCCCCUCACUCAGGAUGCGUGUCCCGGGAUGACCCCUGGCUGCCUCUCAUGGCCAGUCUCGGCUGCCUUGGCCCUGAACUGCCCGUGUCUCCGCCCCCGGGCAGGCCCCCUGCUGUCUGGGGCUGACUCCUGGUGUCAGACCUUCCAGGCGCCCUCAUCUCUUUUUCACCCCUCCCCCACCCUAAGACCCGCCCUGGCCUGCCCUGCAGCCCCUCCCAGCACCCCCCAGGGUGAACAACGCCCGUGAGUAAAGCAGUGACCUGCCCCCGUCUCUCCUUGGCCCCCGGUCACCUCGCCCUGCGUGUGCACAUCUGGCCUUGGGUCCCCGUCACCUUCGCUUUCUCAGCCUCCCUGCCCCGGGUGCAUCUGUCCUCAGGUCGCUCCUGUCUCAGCCUUUCCCUCCUCCCGCAGCCUCUCCAGCUUGCCCUUGUAUGUGCUGGGGUCAGCCUUGGCCCCUUUACCAUCUGUGCGGUGAGAGCCCAGAGUCCCAUUACAGAAGGCCUGACACAGACCCGGGUAGGGCGGUGCCAUCAGAUGUAACUUUGUGCUCUUUGGUGGGCGCUGGCAGAUGUGCUGGGAGGCGUAUUGGUGUCAGUCGUUGUGCAUCUGUAGUGGUAGUAGCAGCGGCGGGAGUGGCAGGUAGACUGUUGCUAUUAAGAGACUAAACGGACAUGCGUUUGAGCAAACUCGGGAGAUAGUGGAGGACCGGGAAGCCUGGUGCGCUGCAGUUCCUGCGAUCGCAGAGUCAGACACCACUGAGCGGCUGAACAACAGCGGUACUAGCGUGGUAGCGGAUGUGGUACUGGCAGCCGCAGCGGUUUUAGUGGGUAUUAGCAGCGGUAGUGGCGGUAUUCACGGCCGUGGGAGCGGCAGCAGCAGCAUCUGCAGAUGUGUCAGUAGUAACGGCAGGUGCCGCGGCGGCGGCAGCGCCGGCUGUGGAUGUCUUAGUAGGUCUGUCAGUGUCUGCGGAGAUAGCGUCGUAUCAGUAGACGUGUUCGUAGUAUCAGUAGAGGUGCGAGUACCAUUAGAUCAGCAGGCGGAGCGGCAGCGGCAUCUGUAGAUGUUAAUAGUAGCGGUAUUAGUGGGUACUGUGAGGGCAGCAGGUGCAGCAGCAGCAGCAGCAGUGGCAUCUGUGAAUGUAUCAGUAGAGGGCUUAAUACCUGCGAGGGGGCAGCCGCGGUAGUAGAGGGGUUAGUAGUCUUGGUAGAGGGGUUAGUAGUCUUGGUAGAGGGUUAGUAGUCUUGGUAGAGGGGUUAGUAGUCUUGGUAGAGGGUUAGUAGUCUUGGUAGAGGGGUUAGUAGUCUUGGUAGAGGGUUAGUAGUCUUGGUAGAGGGGUUAGUAGUCUUGGUAGAGGGUUAGUAGUAUUGGUAGAGGGGUUAGUAGUCUUGGUAGAGGGGUUAGUAGUCUUGGUAGAGGGUUAGUAGUCUUGGUAGAGGGGUUAGUAGUCUUGGUAGAGGGUUAGUAGUCUUGGUAGAGGGUUAGUAGUCUUGGUAGAGGGGUUAGUAGUCUUGGUAGAGGGUUAGUAGUCUUGGUAGAGGGGUUAGUAGUCUUGGUAGAGGGUUAGUAGUGUUGGUAGAGGGUUAGUAGUGUUGGUAGAGGGUUAGUAGUCUUGGUAGAGGGGUUAGUAGUCUUGGUAGAGGGUUAGUAGUCUUGGUAGAGGGGUUAGUAGUCUUGGUAGAGGGUUAGUAGUCUUGGUAGAGGGGUUAGUAGUCUUGGUAGAGGGUUAGUAGUCUUGGUAGAGGGGUUAGUAGUCUUGGUAGAGGGGUUAGUAGUCUUGGUAGAGGGGUUAGUAGUCUUGGUAGAGGGGUUAGUAGUGUUGGUAGAGGGUUAGUAGUCUUGGUAGAGGGUUAGUAGUCUUGGUAGAGGGUUAGUAGUCUUGGUAGAGGGUUAGUAGUGUUGGUAGAGGGGUUAGUAGUCUUGGUAGAGGGUUAGUAGUCUUGGUAGAGGGUUAGUAGCGUUGGUAGAGGGUUAGUAGUCUUGGUAGAGGGUUAGUAGUCUUGGUAGAGGGUUAGUAGUGUUGGUAGAGGGUUAGUAGUCUUGGUAGAGGGGUUAGUAGUCUUGGUAGAGGGUUAGUAGUCUUGGUAGAGGGUUAGUAGUCUUGGUAGAGGGUUAGUAGCCUUGGUAGAGGCACUGUUAGUAUCAGCAGGCGCAGCAGCAGCAGCAUGUGAAUGCACCAGUUGUAUCAGUAGGUGUAUCAGUGUCUGCAGGCGUAGCCGUCGUCUAGUAGAUACUUUGAGUCCCAGCAGGCACGGCAGCAGCAACAGCAGCAGGGGUGUCUAUAGAUGCAGCAGGGGUAGUGUAAAUAUAGCAGCUGCCCUGCACUGGCAGGAUGUGAGAUGAAGCCUGCUCGCCACUGUUAGCCGGCGGGCUUGCGCUGGGGAAGCGUGCAGGGUGGUGUGGGUGUGGACGGGGCACAGGGAGAUGCUGUCACGGAGACUCAGGGUGCGGGGCGUGAGCUGGAAAGCUAAUACUCGAUGGGAGACGCGUCAUUGAGACUCGCUUGUUGCCUUCAAGGCAGUUGGAGGGAAUGGAGGGAUGUGUACCAGCACGUGAUGGGAAAGGACACUCCUGGCCAGUUGGUAAACGGCUGCAGCGUGAGGCGGUGAGAAGAGUCCCUCAUGCCACUAAGGUUCUCUGGUGGAAGCUAGUGACCACGUGCCCCAGCUGGGCAGGGUUUCAUGUCGCCCUUCACUAUCUGAUGGACAACAAACACUGUGAUUUGGGCUCACCCAGGUCUAGACUUCUUAGCCUUCUUGACUAUUUAUAGAUUUUUUUAAUUAAAAUUGAGUUUCUAUAUGAACCCACAUGUUAGAAAUAGCGACCUUCUUCUAUUUUUGGUACCUCGCUUUCAGCAUCACAGCAGAUAAGCACUGACUCUUUUCCUUCCUCACCGUUUCUGAAUAAUCUGCUUGUUUUCCGCUUCUUGCUAAUCUGGCGUUUCCUUCGGUCAUCCUCCAGGGGCUAAAGGAUUAACUAAUGUUAAUUCAACAUUUUGAAAUAAUGUCAUAAACUAUGCUUCAAGGAGCACAGAGUACUUUUUGGAAGGUUGAAAAAUGGUCCACGUUUGUGUUUCUCACAUUUGGUUUGCAAAGAUAGUACUUCCAGCUGCAGAGAUGGGGGCAGCCCUUCCUCAGUGUUGUCAUUGUGUAAGAGUGCUGCCUCUCACAGCUGUUAUCCCAGGAGGAGGGCCUCACGGAGACCGGCUGCCAUGUUCGGUGGGCCACUCGAUGGUGUCAGAGAAGUUGGCGAGGUCCCCGGCUGAGGGAUGUUCUGUUUACUGGACAAGUUCGGAGCUGGAGACUUGUUUUUACAUCCAAGUGGUUAAAAAAUGGGACAUGUAGUUGGGGUGGAAGAAAAAGCCCUUCUUUUUCGCUGGUCCAAAAGAAUUGGGUCAUUCCUAAAGCAGACCAAGUUUAAUAUAGUAAUCUAAAUAGAUAAUUAUAUUGGGCAGAGAGAGAAUAUAAGAGAGCAAGAGCUUCAGAUGGAUAUUUGGAUACAUUUUAUAAAGUAUAUUUUUUAAAGAAAAGACUAUGAGAAAUGCUUUAUAUCUUAAAAAGGAAGAAAAUUCACCUCUAGGGUAGUACGGACAUGAUUCCACAUUCUCAGAACAGGACAGGAAUGGGGCAGGUCCACAAGGAUAAUUGGCAAGGGCAUUUUGAGACGCAACUUUUUAAAAAAGUCAACACACCAAUUUAGUUCUGCAGAUGUAGGACUGGGAUGGGUCUCUGUCUAUGGAGGUGCGAUGUGUCAAGAACGUAAUAAGCCAAAACAAACUCAUUAUUUGUGAGCAAGAAAUGGGAGAUUCUUGAAUUUACUAUAUAAUUCAUUUUUGGAAUAUUUCCCCUGUAAUACAAGCACUUAAUUGUCUUCCUUUUCAAUAGCAUAAUGGUGACUUUGUGAUGCAUUCAUGAGAAUUGUGAAGUUUGGAAUGUGACUUUUAUUUUAGGAUUUUGAGGGAACUCCUAAAGGCAUUUCACUUUUGACCUUUAACAUGAAGCUUGUGGUCCAUCGUUGCUGGGUAAGGGGCGCCUAGCGUGUGCAUUUUUGUUGUGUCUGGAGGUUUGGCUGCAUUGCACAAUGAGGUGUGUAAUACACAUGGAGCAAUUUUGCCUCCUCUUUGUUCCUUGAACAGAUUCACAUGUUCAGUUCUUUUCAAAUUGAGCUCUAAAAAACACUGAGUUAUUUAUACUUGGCAAAGUUUAUCAUUUAGCAAUGGAUUCAUAAACGAAAACGAGCUCCAGAUUACAAGGGAAAAUUGCCAAUAGGAACAGAACAUAUUAAUGAA